rnacentral:rRNA from 1 species
UAGUCCACGCCGUAAACGAUGAUUACUCGGUGUUGGGUCGAUAUAGAUUCAGUGCCUAAGCGAAAGUGAUAAGUAAUCCACCUGGGGAGUACGUUCGCAAGAAUGAAACUCAAAGGAAUUGACGGGGGCCCGCACAAGCGGUGGAGCAUGUGGUUUAAUUCGAUGAUACGCGAGGAACCUUACCAGAGCUUAAAUGUAGGUCGCAUAAUUUGGAAACAGAUUAGUCUUCGGACGACUUGCAAGGUGCUGCAUGGUUGUCGUCAGCUCGUGCCGUGAGGUGUCAGGUUAAGUCCUAUAACGAGCGCAACCCCUACCGUUAGUUGCCAGCAUUUAAAGAUGGGGACUCUAACGGGACUGCCGGUGCAAACCGAGAGGAAGGUGGGGAUGACGUCAAAUCAUCACGGCCCUUACGUUCUGGGCUACACACGUGCUACAAUGGUCGGUACAGAGGGCAGGCUACCAGGUGACUGGAUGCCAAUCUCGAAAGCCGAUCUCAGUUCGGAUCGCAGU